UGAACCUGCGGAAGGAUCAU
rnacentral:ncRNA from 13 species